rnacentral:ncRNA from 1 species
UGUACCCCGAUGAUAUGGAAAUUAACUUUAAGCAGGCUGGAAAGAGAACAGGGAACGCGGCUGAAAUUCCCUGACAGAACCGUAAAGUGAACAACACCAUGGAGGAUUCAUGCUGAAAUCAGUAGGCAUGGACGGAACCGGCCGUUAUCCGGAUUCGAGUGGGCACAUUUGUGUCAAUUUGGGUGGAACCGCGGAAGCUUCAAGCUCUCGUCCCUGUG